rnacentral:sRNA from 1 species
GUCUCAAUCCCUCAUAGGUAAUGUAAUCC